rnacentral:rRNA from 1 species
GUGAGGAAUAUUGCACAAUGGGCGAAAGCCUGAUGCAGCAACGCCGCGUGAGUGAUGAAGGCCUUUGGGUCGUAAAACUCUGUCCUUGGGGAAGAAAAAAAUGACGGUACCCUUGGAGGAAGCCCCGGCUAACUACGUGCCAGCAGCCGCGGUAAUACGUAGGGGGCAAGCGUUAUCCGGAAUUAUUGGGCGUAAAGAGUGCGUAGGUGGUUUUGUAAGCGUAGGGUGAAAGGCAGUAGCUCAACUAUUGUUAGCCCUGCGAACUGUGAGACUUGAGUGCAGGAGAGGAAAGUGGAAUUCCUAGUGUAGCGGUGAAAUGCGUAGAUAUUAGGAGGAACACCAGUGGCGAAGGCGACUUUCUGGACUGUAACUGACACUGAGGCACGAAAGCGUGGGUAGCAAACAGGAUUAGAAACCCCGGUAGUCC